AAGGCUUUAAGUUAACUAAACUAAUAACCUUCAAAGCUAUAAAUAAAGAAUACAUCUUUAAGCCUUA
rnacentral:tRNA from 1 species